rnacentral:rRNA from 1 species
GUAGGUGGCAAGCGUUGUCCGGAAUUAUUGGGCGUAAAGCGCGCGCAGGCGGUUCUUUAAGUCUGAUGUGAAAGCCCGCGGCUCAACCGUGGAGGGUCAUUGGAAACUGGAGAACUUGAGUACAGAAGAGGAAAGCGGAAUUCCACGUGUAGCGGUGAAAUGCGUAGAGAUGUGGAGGAACACCAGUGGCGAAGGCGGCUUUCUGGUCUGUAACUGACGCUGAGGCGCGAAAGCGUGGGGAGCAAACAGGAUUAGAUACCCUGGUAGUCCACGCCGUAAACGAUGAGUGCUAAGUGUUAGGGGGUUUCCGCCCCCCUUAGUGCUGCGGCUAACGCAUUAAGCACUCCGCCUGGGGAUACGGCCGCAAGGCUG